rnacentral:lncRNA from 1 species
CAGGUCCAGAGAGCCGGGGCCUGGAAGCUGGGCCGACACCGGCCGGGCCACAGACCGCUGUGGGUGAGGGCCCAAACCUGACGAGAGCCAGUGCCCGUGGAGCAGACGCCCCAGCCGCCCAGGAUCCAGACGACACCCAGACCCGCUCAAGCGACGUUCGAAAUGUCCAUGAUGUAACCCACAAUUACUUGGUCUGCGAGGAGCCAUCGAGAUGCCAACUCAGAGGAAAAGACCGUCAGCGGACGCCAAGGGUGAAAAAACAUAGGUGUUGAAAUUCUCUAAAGUAAAGGUCUCUAAAGUAAAGGUCAGAAAAACACUCGAAGAAGCAAUCACAGACAUUUUACAAUAAAUGUAAAGAUAUUCACAGUCUCAGCAAAGAAACAAGACACAAGAGGAGUCGUCUGGAAAUGUUAGGCCUGAAAGUCAAAAUCACCAAACCGUUAAAACUCACUAGACAGACUAGCAGAAUGGAGACGACAGAAGAGUCUGCGAACUUGACUGACGACAGGUCAACAGAAGUUAGGCAACCUGAACAAAGAAAGAAAAUCCGUCAGGAGGAGAUUCAGGCCCCAGGGACCUGGGGGACAGAACUAAAGGUCUUGCACUGGUACCGCUGGGGGCCCAAAAGGAAAAGAGCACGGGGGUCCGAAGAAGUAAGGGCUGCAAACUUGUCCCAUGUGGCGGAAGGCCCACACCCACAGAUUUGAGAAGCUGAGUGAGCCCAAAACAGGAUAAAGCCAAAGACGUCCCCCCGCCAGGCACAUCUCACCGAGCUUCUGAAAACCAAGGACAGACUAACCCUGACCGGUGGGGAAGGACCGUGCUUGCCCUACAGGCCCCUCACCGGCAGCCCCGGAGGCCUCGAGGAGCCGCGACACAGUUAAAGACGGAAAGGCUGGCAGCCCAGAGUGCCGUGUCCGGUGAAACAUCCUUCACGAACACAGGCGAAAAAAGUUCUCAAAUGAAAGAAGAUGGAGAGACUCCACAGCCAGCGACGGAAGCUUCUCCGACAAGAGGUAAGUGCCAUCAGAACGAGGCUGGGCCGCCAGCAAUGAGGGCACAGACACAGACUGACCCCUGUCCUCCUGGGUUCUUCAAGACACGUCUGACAGCUGAAAGGAAGGCGGUAGUGUUGCCUGAUGGGGGUUUUCAGUCUAGACAGGUGCCCCGUGGGGGAUGAUAAAGGACCUCUGGGGGUAAGGUGCCUACACCCCAGUCACAGUACAAACUAUCGAGUCCGUGAGUAAACCGUUAGGAGCUGAGCGUGUUGCGGGGCGCCUGGGGGGCUCAGCUGGUUGAGCGUCUGACUCUUGUGUCUCGGCUCAGGUCAUGGUCUCACGGUUUGUGGGACAGAGCCCCACAUCGGGCCGUGCGCCGACAGCACGGCACGGAGCCUGCUUGGGAUUCUCUCUGCUCCUCCCCUGAGCUCGCUCACUCGCUCCCUCUCUCAAAAAUAAACAUGGAAAAAAAAAGAGUGGUGUGCUCCUUAGAACCACCACUAAAACAGCACUAAAAAAUGUUCAAAUCUUGUCCUUCCAGGCAGGAGAGAGGAAACGGAGGGACAGACGGAGGACCGACGUAAAGGACCCCCCCCCCACCUUGCUCAGC